UAAAUUAUAAAAAAAAACCGAACAGCUAGCCGUUUUAUAUAAAAUCAAGAACUAGGGAAAUCACACGAUAAAUAAUAAUAAUAUUAUGAUUUUCUUAUGUUUCUGAUUGGCUUUAACUAUAAGACGAUACCGCUUAACACAAAACCUGUCACAUAUCCGUGCAUUCUCUACAAUUUCUCUCUGUCGGGUUUCCGACUGCACUGCCUUGACAUCCACC